CAGAAGGUAGAUCAGGUUAUCUGUUUAAGACCUAGGGCACCAGCCACGCAUCAUUUGUUGAUUGCAGAGGAGAGACAAACUUCUUAGUAGAGUCAGGAUCUCCUGGUGAAAGUCCUAAGCUGCGUAGACAUGUUAUAAGUUAAGACGGGGCUUCACUUCUCUCAUCUGAUUUACAACAGUCAGAGUUUGUACAGCUGAGAGGUGGCGGAGAGUGACACUGGGAGGCAGGCGCCACUGUGUGUUCUCAUGUUCUGAUGGAUUUUCAGUUCAGAGUAAUGUCAAGAUACGUCUUGCCACCACUGUUCCCAGAACAGAGGCCAAACCGAGGAACCUCAGGCUACCCCUGAGUCAUCACCGGCAUACCCAACCGCAGCUAUCAAUUAUGAAUGACUCUUCAGUGAGAGCUGUGACUUCAUUACUGCCUCGUUGCUCCAUGGUUUGUCCAGUCCACAGUCUUGGUGCCACAUGUAUCCAGGGGUAGCUGUGAAUGCCGCCAAAUACAAAAACGUAGACUUGCUCAAAACCUGAGGAUAUCACUGGUGAUUUUUUUGUUGUCAUUGUAGCUUCACUGCUUAGUUCUUCAGUGUGAACUUUGCACAGGACAACAGUUGUGUUGCAGUAUCAAAGGUUGCAUAGGCACUCUAGAGCGUUGGACUGAAUUCUGGAUGCUUUGACUCCACUCUGCUGUUGGCACUUGGGUACUCCCAUGUCCAAGCAUUGGCAGCUUUAACCGCAGAACUGAGCAUUCCCUGGGAAUUGUCCUCUGAUGAAAAGAAUGGCUUCACCCAUCUCUCAGCUUGGUCUGCAUGUGUGUGAAUGUGAGGAGAUAAAGGUUCCCUACAAAACAAAACAAAACAGAAUAAAACAAAAAUUCUUUUCCUUAAA